rnacentral:rRNA from 1 species
GCCUUACACAUGCAAGUCGAACGGCAGCACGGGUGCUUGCACCUGGUGGCGAGUGGCGAACGGGUGAGUAAUACAUCGGAACAUGUCCUGUAGUGGGGGAUAGCCCGGCGAAAGCCGGAUUAAUACCGCAUACGAUCCACGGAUGAAAGCGGGGGACCUUCGGGCCUCGCGCUAUAGGGUUGGCCGAUGGCUGAUUAGCUAGUUGGUGGGGUAAAGGCCUACCAAGGCGACGAUCAGUAGCUGGUCUGAGAGGACGACCAGCCACACUGGGACUGAGACACGGCCCAGACUCCUACGGGAGGCAGCAGUGGGGAAUUUUGGACAAUGGGCGAAAGCCUGAUCCAGCAAUGCCGCGUGUGUGAAGAAGGCCUUCGGGUUGUAAAGCACUUUUGUCCGGAAAGAAAUCCCUGGCUCUAAUACAGUCGGGGGAUGACGGUACCGGAAGAAUAAGCACCGGCUAACUACGUGCCAGCAGCCGCGGGUAA